rnacentral:rRNA from 1 species
UACGUAGGGUGCAAGCGUUGUCCGGAAUUAUUGGGCGUAAAGAGCUCGUAGGCGGUUUGUUGCGUCGGCUGUGAAAUCCCGAGGCUCAACCCUCGGGUCUGCAGUCGAUACGAGCAAACUAGAGUGUUGCAGGGGAGACUGGGAAUUCCUGGUGUAGCGGUGAAAUGACGCAGAUAUCAGGAGGAACACCGGUGGCGAAGGCGGGUCUCUGGGCAGUAACUGACGCUGAGGAGCGAAAGCGUGGGGAGCGAACAGG